rnacentral:lncRNA from 1 species
CCGAGACGAACUUCAAAUUUUGGGCUCAUAAAUUAUAGCAAGCAAUUAAAUUUUUUUUCCAUUUAUAAGAGAUUUAAAGAACCAAAUUUAUUAACUUAAAAUCAAAAAAUAAAACAAAGAAAAUGAAAUCACAUGACAAUGUGAAAAUGUUCCAAAAUUGAUGACCCAAUCACAAUUCACACCUUAUAAUAAAGGAUUAAAAGUACUCAAAAAUUGCUCACCUUAGAACAAUUGCUCACUUCACUUGCUGUUAGAUUACUUGAACAGUUAAACAUGGAUGGCAAGAUUAAUCAUUAAUGGAUGAAUUUCAGAAUUUCAAUCACCCAAAAACAGUUAAACAAGGAAGACCCUGCACAAGAAGAUAAUGGAGAUAAGGCUGACAGAAUCUUAGAUCGAGGUUGUGUUGAAAUUAAACCAUUCACCACAAACCAAUUCGAGUGAAAGAUCAACAUAACAACCCAAUAGAUUAAAGCAUGAUUUUACACAAAUAAAUCAGAUAUCUUCCAAGUUUGGUGAGUCGGUGACAUUAACAUAGAAUAUGACAGAUCACAUGGUUUGUUACUCGUAGAAAAUGAAAUAAUAAUAGAAAACGAAUUAAUACCCAUGUUGAAUCUCACCCAAAACAAAAAAUUGAAUUAAUAACAUUACAGAAGCAGCAUUCCAUUCCAUCUUGUUGCCGACGGAUUUUGGGGAAAAUAAAUUACUUACCAAUGAUUUCGAAAAUAGACCGGAGAAUGCGUGACUUCAGAUUUGUCAACGCCCGACGCCGAUCGAAUUUUGCAGCGAGGAGAAUCUGCAAUUUUGUGGACUCGUCGUGGAACCGUGGAGAGAUGAUGUAGAUUAGAAUAUUUGCAGUUGGGCUUUAAA